rnacentral:rRNA from 1 species
GUAUAUGGCCAUGCCACCCUGAAUGUGCUAAGUAGAGUUGGGCCUGGUUAGUAGUUGGAUGGGAGACUGCCUGGGAAUACCAGAUGCCAUAGGCU